GACGAACGCUGGCGGCGUGCCUAAUACAUGCAAGUUGAGCGAUGAAGAUUGGUGCUUGCACCAAUUUGAAGAGCAGCGAACGGGUGAGUAACGCGUGGGGAAUCUGCCUUUGAGCGGGGGACAACAUUUGGAAACGAAUGCUAAUACCGCAUAAUAACUUUAAACAUAAGUUUUAAGUUUGAAAGAUGCAAUUGCAUCACUCAAAGAUGAUCCCGCGUUGUAUUAGCUAGUUGGUGAGGUAAAGGCUCACCAAGGCGAUGAUACAUAGCCGACCUGAGAGGGUGAUCCGCCACAUUGGGACUGAGACACGGCCCAAACUCCUACGGGAGGCAGCAGUAGGGAAUCUUCGGCAAUGGACGAAAGUCUGACCGAGCAACGCCGCGUGAGUGAAGAAGGUUUUCGGAUCGUAAAACUCUGUUGGUAGAGAAGAACGUUGGUGAGAGUGGAAAGCUCAUCAAGUGACGGUAACUACCCAGAAAGGGACGGCUAACUACGUG
rnacentral:rRNA from 1 species